rnacentral:rRNA from 1 species
CGUGCAGGAUGGAAGGCCUUAAGGGGUUUGUUAAACGUGCUUUUAAUGUAGUGAAGAAUAUGACGGUAACUCAUGAAUAAGGGUCCGGCUAACUACGUGC